ACCGCCACCGCCAUCCCCAUCGCCACCGCCACCACCACCGCCGAUAUCCCCGUCGCCGCCAUUGCCGCCACCUCCCCCUCCACCACCGCCGCCUCCACCGCCUCCACCACCAGCGAAAUCCCCGCCAAAGCCACCUCCACCCCCCCCGCCACUUCCAAUUCCCGGCCGCCGCCGCCGCCGCCUCAACCGUUCCCACCGUCUCGAGUAAAGUCGGCGGUUCCGAACAGCGCACAUCCGCUGUAGCAAGCACCCUAGCCUUCCCCCAUGCCGCCGCUGUAGCCAGCACCGCCACAUCAGCAGUGGUGGGCCCCGGUCCUGGCGCCCUAGGAGCCCGAGCCAAUGAAGGCGAUUUCCCUGAUCCGCCAGGGUGUCUUUAGGUUGCAUACGUCAGGAUCAUCAUUGCAUCUCCACAAACCUCCUUGGGUUCCCGGCAAUUUGGAGCGAAGGGGGUCGACCUUCGUGACGGCAGCAUGGGCAGGCAGGGCAGACAGGCAUGUGCAGGCAUGUGGGGGCCUCCUUCUCAGCCGCUAAAUGCUAGAUAAUUCUCGAUACUAUUUGUUCGCAAAUACAAUCAUAAUGAGAGGCAUUCUUGCAUCACUUGUAAUAGUAUUAAGGUUGAGCGGAGGGUGCCCUGGGGAGGCUCAGCUUUGAAAGCAGCAGGCUGGUCAACUUAGGGUCAACGGCUGCCAUUUGUACCGACUGCUGGAUGCGCUGGGAGGGCGCGUAGCUUCGCUAAAUGCGCGCAGUGCCAUCAUGGCUGUAGGCUUCCAUGGCUACCCGGCGCGUGAAUCAAUGAAGCCAUGAAGUGCAACCUUUUUUCGCUGCAGGCGCGACCCAUUCUGCGUAGAAUGCGUGUGGUAAGCGAGGCGUUUAGAGUCGUGUGGGAAUCGAACAGGGUCGAAAGGAAUCCAACAUGGUACGAAACAUGGUGCAUCUGGGGACGGGAAUGAUUGUAACAAAGACAUUUUUUACGGGGAGGGCUCUGGGACGGGCUGCGUGAUAUGCCGUACAUCGUUGCUCCGUGUUGUGACGUACACUGCGAGCGUGACGUGUCAUCAUCUGAUGUGGGCCGGCCGGUUUCGGAUGUGCGUAGCCCGAGAUACAGAUGUCGGCUGUAGCAGCAGUAGCAAGGGCAGAAUGGAGAUGUGGAUCUGCUUGGAGCGAGAAAACAGAGCGCAAGGAGCACUGCGACGGUGCGUCACUGAUGUGUAUGUAUGUAUGUAUGUAUGUAUGUACGUGUGUACGUACGUGUGUUGCCGCAGAGGCGGUCAACGCGGACCGGGGUUACCCGGCAAGACACGAAGUGAGGGACAGCUUCGGAAGGGGUUGUUUUGGGGCGUCCACCUUAUUGGAAGUAGGCGUCACCUUAUUGGCGCCGUGAAAUACGCUUUGCCGUACAUUCAGGUUUUUGAGACCACAUCGAAGGUGACUGCAUGCACCAUUGGCUUUUGUUGGGGAGCGUGAUCUGGUACUGGCAUAGCGUAGGGUUUAGCUGCAAGGAGGCGCUGUGGUUGAUGGCGCGGCAACAGUAAUAGGAAUGGUUGCGCUUUGGUGUGCGGCACUACUGCUAGUGGGAUUGUAGGCGGACUUUGUUUAGUUUGGGCACGCAGCUUAUGGGCCAUGCUUUACUUACGGAAGCAUAUGACCUUUCCUGUUGGCGGGUUGAGUUGGUGGCCGGGGUAGUCUUGGAUUUGGCGUUGGUAAGGAGACGACUGGAGAUGAUGCGUUCUAUAUGGGAACAGGGCCGAAAGUGCUGGCUUCGACUUGCAAUACAGUUUGCACGGGUUGCGACUUUCGACGGGCGUUCUUAAACGGUUACGUUGCUCCACGUGUGUGGCCGCUACGAUCCUGCACAGGAGCAAGCGCUGAUACUGAUUUUGAUUAGGUAUUGUGCCUUCGGGGCUGCACUUCAAAUUUGUUGAUCGCUGCAUAGUACGAAGAUUUUGCUUGAGCUCGAAAACUGCUUUGAGAAAUAAAACCGCAAUGUUACUUUUAUGUUUUCAAUAUCUUCGUCAGGCAGCGUUCUCGGCAACGAUCCUGACUUAGAUGCGGGCUUGCUGCGGCCCUUGCAGAGCAGGGGCGCAACAACGAUGGACUAGUAAUGGUGAUUUGCUGAACAUACUUCUUCCUUCGUUUGAAGCUGGGAAGAGGCUAGGAUUAUAGCUGUGCGUGGUCUUGCAGUUGCCCUUAGCUCCCGUUGUUCGUCCCUCGGGGCCCAAAAUACAAAUCCAUGUAACGAUCACGAUGACAUACUAAUUCAUUGUCAACUGGCGCCUUGUAUACAUAAUACAUAUAUAAAUUUAUUAAAGACUUUAAGGACUUUGAAUCAAAUUCUAGUGCCUACUGUGGCAUGCCGGUAUGAACGGGGCAGCUCCGAAAUCCAUACAGAGCAAGGUAAACUGGAAUUUUCUUGUUAUAAGAAAUCCUGCACUAAAUCAUUUAUUUAGGUUGCACAAAACUCUCACCUGAUGGCAUGAUUUGUUGUAGGAGUCUGUAUCGCGCUUUGCAACAGUUCCCAAGGGUUCACUGCUCGUCUCUAUCGUUUGUCAUUUGACGUCAUGGACACAGCCGCGCCCUCCGCACCACUGUUUACUCGACCGGAAAACGGGGCAGAAUCCCUAAGUUCCAAUCCCUCCGUCGGGACGUCGUGGCGUCGGCAUCGGAGCUUGUCUGUCCCAGCAAGGCAUGCAGGGCUUUCCCUGAGCGCCAGUAUGUUCAGCUCUUCCUCCCUAAGUCGCAUCGGGUCCAUGUUUUCAAAUAUCCUUUCCCCGGCGCAACCUGAGCUGCUGGAGGCCUCGCGCCGAAAGGCAGGUUGUUCUACGACUGCUACUGUCUAUGCUAAUGGCUAGUGCCCGGUCACAAACACAGAAGCAGUUACCGCAGCCGGCCCUGCUUGCUCCUGACUAGCAAAACUAUGAGCUGCUCACCGGCUCUCACCCUUGUCGCAAUGCCAAGCCAUGUAUCGUUCUGCCUCUCCCGGCGCCGACCUGCUUCAGAGAUUCUUCGGUUUCAGUUCCAAGGCAUGUUUCGUCCUGAUCGCCACCUUGUUACCGAUGGCUGCGGUAGUUGCAGUCAUCGCCCCGCUGUGUAGCGUUCUCAGCUGUGGUGCGCCCCGAAACCAGGUGCGUGCGGCCAACCGCGGGAUACCUAAGUCCACCGCACCCUCCCUUACCUUUCCUUCCCUUAACCUACCCUAACUGCACAAUCCCGCACCCUGAACAGAAUCCACAGAGCCCAGCUACCACAGCGACCGCGUAUGCUUCAUCAGUGGCCCUCGAGGCGCUCUUGCAGGUUCGAUAAGUUUGCAUUAAUGUGUUAUUAAUGACGUGCGCAGCACAGGCUAUGUUUUCUUGCGCGUUACAUGCACAUGCGGUCAUGUUCCGGGAAGCUAUAGCCCGCCAUUUCAAACAAAGGAUUGAAAAAGGUUUACGGACAUCCCGUAAAGGCAAUCCAUCCUAAAAUAAAUAAUUACAGACUGGAAUGUGGCCCAGAAGCCUCCCAUUCUGUAACAACAAAGUUAAGAAUGGAAUGAAACGGAAACUGGGAGCUCUUAACGUUUGAGGCGUUUUGAGGGGAAUGGAUGCACGCCCUAUGGCCUCUUAUCAUUCAGGCCAGAUUUGCAUCAUGCUUGCCAUGCUUCUGUGCGAGCCGAUACCCGCCUUGUUCCGUACCACCGAGUGCAUGCUCCCUGUCCUGCAUCACAAUUGCAUUCUCUAUUUGCAAACGUCCGCUAAGCCGUGUUCACAACCGUUCACAACGGUUCGCAACGGUUCCGCUAAGACGUUUUCACAACAGAUGUAUGUGCGAUGCCGGCUCUAGACACAGCAUCAUGGCGUACCUGUACACGCGCAACGUCAUCCCAAGAACCAUGGCGACUGCUGCUGCUGCUGCUGCUGCUGCUGCUGCUGUCACACCUGCAGGUGCACUGGCCGCAGAGCCCCACAGCCACUGUGUCAGGACUCUGCCGUGAUACCGACUCUCCGGAACGCCGCCAGCUUCUCUCAAGAUUUGAAGGGGCCAUGCAGGCGGCCCUGGGUGACCUCGGCAUCGACAUGCAGAUUGUGAGAUUGCUCAGCGCGAAAUGCGUGGGAGUGACUGGGGUAGAGGACCCCGCGGGCUCCGAAACCCCGUUGCUGCCGCCGUCACCGCUGGCCAGUCGCCAUGCGCACUUCCUCAGGCGGCGACAGCUCUUGAGUGUAGCGGUCGUCGACGACAGUGACAGCAACGGCGGCGACGGCAGCGGUGGUGGCAGCAGCGGUGGUGGCAGCAGCGGUGGUGGCAGCAGCGGUGGCGACGGCAGCGGUGGUGGCAGCAGCGGUGGUGGCAGCAGCGGUGGUGGCAGCAGCGGUGGCGACGGCAGCGGUGGUGGCAGCAGCGGUGGUGGCAGCAGCGGUGGUGGCAGCAGCGGUGGCGACGGCAGCGGUGGUGGCAGCAGCGGUGGUGGCAGCAGCGGUGGUGGCAGCAGCGGUGGUGGCAGCAGCGGUGGCGACGGCAGCGGUGGUGGCAGCAGCGGUGGUGAUACCGUCGCGGUGCUCCAGCUGGCGGUGAGGUUUGAUGUGGGGCUACCUGGCGGCUAUGGGCCCGAUCUCGUGGCUGCGGUCCGCAAUGUGGCGGACAGUGGCAUCGCGGUCAUUGAGCACAAGCUAGAGGAGGCGGUACAAGGCAUCGUGGGCCCGUCUGCAGAACUCAAGGUUCUGAGGCUCACCGCCGGGGACCAAGGGAUGGACCAGUUGGCCCAGCCGCCGCGGGCGAAAUCAUCGUCGCCAUCGCUGCCCCCACCGCCUCCUUUGCUGCUCUCUCCACAGCCCGCAACACUUCUGCCGCCGCCUCCACCGCCUCCACCACCACCAGCGAAAUCCCCGCCAAAGCCACCGCCACCCCCCCCGACACUUCCAAUUCCCGGCCGCCGCCGCCGCCGCCGCCUCAACCGUUCCCACCGUCUCGAGUAAAGUCGGCGGUUCCGAACAGCGCACAUCCGCUGUAGCAAGCACCCUAGCCUUCCCCCAUGCCGCCGCUGUAGCCAGCACCGCCACAUCAGCAGCCACCACCGCUCCCAAGGAACCCGAGGCGCCCGAACUGACGGGAGCUCCAUUUAUCGACGUGUCCUGUAGUCACCACAGCGCUCAUCGGCGGCCGCUAGCCCGGCUGCUACUUCCUCACCCUCAACCUCCUCCGAAUCAGAGAGCCUCUCAGGCGUGCCGUUGCUGUCCAGGGAUGGCACCACAGGGCUUACAGGACCGCUGGAGGGGUCGAGCGUGCAGACGGAUGAGGGCUCGAGUAGUACCUGACAUGGCGGGUGUCUGGUAUAACGUCGUAGCUCGGGGCUCCGCAAGACAGCGAGGUGAUGGAUAGCUAAAAGCAGCUACUCUUGAAAAAUCUCAAUGGAGGGGCUGUUGUCUGACCAAAGGAUUAUUACAGGAUUAGCAAAGGAAGGGAUCGACGAAGCAAAUGGGAUUGAGUCUUAGGGCUGUUAGUACUAAGACUUGAGUCCGGUUAGCCGGGCCCGGUUAGAGGCAGGGCGUGGUGUGUCCAGGCAGGCAGGCAGGCUAAGCAUUGAAUCUAAUGUGCUGGUUCGGCUCCCAGACGCUGGCUGCAGAAAUGUGCUCGCUCACUCAUUCCUGUACAUGCGAGAAACGACAUCCAUCAGGGGGGGUGGAUCUACUGCAAGCAGCUCCGUCGGGGGCAUUACUUGCUUCCGUCGCACGCUGGAGAAGAAUGGGAAAGUAAGGGCAAGUAGGCUUGUGGCUUAUCCGGCCAAGUUCGUCACCUUGUUAUUAUGUACGAUAAUUGCACAACAAACAAAUGCACCGGUUGGCUGUGCCCAAAGCAGCGCCAGCUACUGUACCGCACUUAAAACAAUGGCGUGGGGUGGUGCCGCAUUGGAAAAAAGUGAUCCUUGUCGGGUGGGGUUGGGUGACAAGCCAAGACAUGGCUCGCCCAAAUGGGGACCCGGGUGGAGCUACGAGAAACCUUGGGUGAAGGGAGCACCACCCGGUUAUAUGGGCACUGAUGCAGCUGUACUUCUAGGUUGGGGCCCUAUACGACCCUUCAUCUGCACAAUAAAUUAUUUUAUAGUUUCCCUGAAGCGUCUUGGUAGGUUUCCCAUUCAUGGAGGGCGCCUGAAAGGGAUAGCUUGGUUGACUUAUCCCGUCUGAGAGAUUUGUGUCCUCGAUGCCAUCGGCUGGUUUUUGUAAAAAGACGUAGCCCUUGCUACUAUUAUGUGAAGUUGGUCGGUUUGGACCAAUAGUUUGUCGACCUUGCAGCCAGACUUUAGAGAGGAGUGUAAGGCACGGGACAAAGUACAGAUUUGUAACCCGAGUAAAU
rnacentral:lncRNA from 1 species